GGGGCCACUUGCAUCAGGUGGGCUAGUCCUGGCCCUAAUGGGCAGGUGGGAUCAGAAUGGGAGGAGAGGAGAGCUGUUAGCAGAGCAGAAGGAGGAGGUGUGCAGGCAGGCCAGAAAGAAGCCUGGGAAGGGCAGGAUUUUGAAAAGAAGUUGUUGAGAGUGUUAAAGGUGGGGGAUCCCCAGGGAACGAGCACCGACAAAUGGCCACCGGACUGAAUCACUAGAAGCCCACCUGAGAAAGUCACCCAGGGAAAGUGACAAUGGCAAUAAAAGACUAAGGUGGGAACGGGGGAAGGGACUGCACAGAUGUCGCAGGCAGAGACUGCACGUUUGAAACCUGACUUGCAAGAGACAAAGCAGAGGCAAUCCAGCGAGCUGCCAAGCUGAGCGCAGGACACAGAAUGACCCAGAGAAACCCAGAGCCCCAGGUUUCCCAGCAGCGACAGCACUUAAGAACAACAUUACAGCAGAAAACACGGCGUAUGCCAAUCUUUGGAUUCUGCAUCCCAGAUCUACAGGAGACUGCUACUGGGAGAGGCGACCAGCUACUGGGAGAGGCCCAUUGUCAGGUGGAAAGAGCAUUUGUUCUGGGUUUACUGUGACCUGGGUUCAAAUCCUUCCUUUACUUCACCUUUAUAUGCAAUGUUAGUUCAUACUUGGGAGGCUCUUCCUGAAGUUUAACUUAAAGCCACCCUUCUACAGAUCGACAGUGGGAGUGGGGGAGAACCAACAUGGAUAUGAGUUAGGGCUUCACGGAAGGUGCCCUGAGAAGUGUCCUGAGAGAAAGGCAGGGCCUUGCACCCCACCCCACAACCGUGAAGAGGAGUUGGCGUGAGGAUCCUACAGGAUCCAGCCGGGGAUGGAGGCAAUGUGAUGGACGAACAGGAAUGGGAAAUGGAAAAACAUAUUGGUGGGAAGGAGGAGAGAGCGAGCUUGGAGGUAGCGGGCCAACCUGGGUUGGAGGCCUGGACUGGCUUAAUAGUUAUGUAAUAUUUCUGUGUCUCAGUUGCCCCAUCUAUAAAAUGGGGGUAUAAAGCCAUACCUACCCCUAAGACUUUCAUGAGCUAAAAUACACAGAGCAGCUUUUUAAAUGGCCUGGCACAUACAGAGAAAGACAGAUACCAUAUGUUUUCACUCUUAUGUGGAUCCUGAGAAACUUAACAGGAACCCAUGGGGGAGGGGAAGGAAAAAAAAAAAAGAGGUUAGAGUGGGAGA